ACAUGUUUGUUUUAUUUGUCUAUAUCCUAGAUUCGCAGCUGGACACAUCCUUCUACACUGUAUGCAAACAUGCAACAUCAUUACACACAGUACAAGGAGUCAGACUGGCAUAUGAGGAGCAAAGGAACCCAGGCAGUAGCAUCGUUUCACAAUGUUUCCAUCACCAUCAUCAGUGGAUGCCUUUGCCGUCCGUAGCCUGAGAUUUCAGAUUUGCAGCAAAAAACUUGAUUUUCCCAUUUAUUGGAAUGCUGUGCAGGUUGUACCUUGCAGCCAUCCAUUACAAUGUCACUAAGCCGUAACAAAAGCAGGAGAGGGAAAGUACAAGGCUAUGUUCCCAAAACACACAAGUGACAUACUUUAUGUGGAUGAUGUGAUCAGGCUUGUGUUUGAUGAGGUAUUUGAAGAUAAGCUGAAGGAAACCCCGAUUCCAAUGGACCUGGCAUCACAGUUUGAGAGACCUUCAAAGGAGGACGUGAUUGCAUGCCA